GACGAACGCUGGCGGCGUGCCUAAUACAUGCAAGUCGAACGCAGUGGGGACGGGUGAGUAACACGUGGGUAACCUCCCAUCAGAGGGGAUAACACUUGGAAACAGGUGCUAAACCGAUACUGAUGGAUGGACCCGCGGUGCAUUAGCUAGUUGGUGAGGUAACGGCUCACCAAGGCCACGAUGCAUAGCCGACCUGAGAGGGUGAUCGGCCACACUGGGACUGAGACACGGCCCAGACUCCUACGGGAGGCAGCAGUAGGGAAUCUUCGGCAAUGGACGAAAGUCUGACCGAGCAACGCCGCGUGAGUGAAGAAGGUUUUAGGGUUGUAAAGUACUUUUGGCAGAGAGGCGGUACCUGACGAGAAAGCAACGGCUAACUCCGUGCCAGCAGCCGCGGUAAUAC
rnacentral:rRNA from 1 species